AUUGAACGCUGGCGGCAUGCCUUACACAUGCAAGUCGAACGGUAACAGGUCUUCGGAUGCUGACGAGUGGCGAACGGGUGAGUAAUACAUCGGAACGUGCCCGAUCGUGGGGGAUAACGAAGCGAAAGCUUUGCUAAUACCGCAUACGAUCUACGGAUGAAAGCAGGGGACCGCAAGGCCUUGCGCGAACGGAGCGGCCGAUGGCAGAUUAGGUAGUUGGUGGGAUAAAAGCUUACCAAGCCGACGAUCUGUAGCUGGUCUGAGAGGACGACCAGCCACACUGGGACUGAGACACGGCCCAGACUCCUACGGGAGGCAGCAGUGGGGAAUUUUGGACAAUGGGCGAAAGCCUGAUCCAGCCAUGCCGCGUGCAGGAUGAAGGCCUUCGGGUUGUAAACUGCUUUUGUACGGAACGAAAAGACUCUGGUUAAUGCCUGGGGUCCAUGACGGUACCGUAAGAAUAAGCACCGGCUAACUACGUG
rnacentral:rRNA from 1 species